AUGAACGGCGUUUCCUGGCAAGAAAAAAAAAUUAAAAAAAAAAAAAGCAAAAAACCGGCGCCUUUUCGCCUGCCCCAAAAACGCGGGGUUUCGGCUCUUUUCUCCUUCCUUUCUCCCGCCGUGGGGGGAGCGCCCGGCGUUCGUUUUGGGAUGGUUUCGGGCCCGCUGCUAAUUUUCCAGGGCAGCUUUAAUAGGAUUUCACGGCCAGCGCGGAUUAUCCGGGGAGAGCCCAUUAUGGGGUGGCCGUGCGCCAGGGGGAGGCGGGGAGGGGCGCCCCCCCCCCCCACCUGCAAACCUUGCUUUUUUUUGGGGAUAUUUGGGAAUCCUAAAAUGCUGGGAAGGGCGAGGAGGGCUCUGGGCGUCUGCCCCCUGCGCUUUGCUGCACAAGGGUUGCCCGGGGACCCCCCCCAACCCCCCAAAAGGGACCCUGCCCCUCUCUGCCCCGCUGUUCCCAGCUUGCAGGGAGCCCGGCUGUGCGUGGCGUGGCUCCUUGCACAACUCCUUGCACAACUCCUUGCACAACUCCCUGGGCUGCACCUUGCACAAUGCCUCGCGCUGCAGGGCCUCCGCGUGGCACCUUGCGUUGUGGUGGCGCUUUGCAGAGCACCUUGCACAGCAGGGCCUGUGCACGGCACCUUGCACGGCACCUUGCACAGCUCUGGCACCUUGCACAGCCCCUUGCACAGCAGGGCCUUUGCAUGGCACUUUGCAUGGCACCUUGCACAGCACCUUGCACAGCGCUGGCAUCUUGCAGACACCUUGCACAGCACCUUGCACAGCCCCUUGCACAGCAGGGCCUUUGCACAGCACCUUGCACAACAGCUUGCACAGCACUGGCACCUUGCACAGCGCCUUGCACAACAGGGCCUUUGCACAACACCUUGCACAGCACUGGCACAACACCUUGCACAGUGCUGGCAUCUUGCACAGCACGUUGCACAGCAGGGCCUUUGCACAACACCUUGCACAACAGCUUGCACAGCACUGGCACCUUGCACAGCGCCUUGCACAACAGGGCCUUUGCACGGCACUUUGCAUGGCACCUUGCACAGUGCUGGCGUCUUGCAAACACCUUGCACAGCAGGGCCUUUGCACAACACCUUGCACAACACCUUGCACAGCACUGGCACCUUGCACAGCAGGGCCUGUGCACGGCACCUUGCACGGCACCUUGCACAGUGCUGGCGUCUUGCAAACACCUUGCACAGCAGGGCCUUUGCACAACACCUUGCACAACACCUUGCACAGCACUGGCACCUUGCACAGUGCCUUGCACAACAGGGCCUUUGCACGGCACUUUGCAUGGCACCUUGCACAGCGCUGGCAUCUUGCACAACACGGCCUUUGCACGGCACCUUGCACAGCACCUUGCACAGCACCGACACUUUGCACAGUGCUGGCAUCUUGCAAACACCUUGCACAGCACCUUGCACAGCAGGGCCUUUGCGUGGCACUUGCACAACACCUUGCACACCACUGGCACCUUGCACAGCACCGACGCCUUUGCACAGCAUUUUGCACAGCAGGCUCUUUGCACAGCACCUUGCACAACUCCCUGAACAGCAGGGCCAUUGCAUGGCGCUCGCCAUAGCAGGGUGUUUGCACAACCCCUUGCACAGCGCCUUGCACAGCACCAGCACCUUGCACAGCAGCGUGCAUGGCACAGGGCCUUUGCACAACCCCUUGCACCAACCCCUUGCACAACCCCUUGCACAACGCCUCGCACAGCACCAGCACCUUGCACUGCACCCCACUCAGCUCAGGAUGGGGCUGGGGGGGUGCUGCUGGAGCCCCCCAAAACCCCCCAGCACCAGGAGCAGCGCCGUGCCCAGCCCCGAGCGCUCGCUGCGGGCCAGCAGCUGUAAGGAGACACCGCCGGCGCGGCCGGAUUUAUAGGAAAAGCUUCCCUGGGGGGGAAUUAAGUGGGAAAAACCUCCGGCUGCCAGCUGCGAGGCUGCCAGGAGCCAGCAGCGAGGGCCCUGCGGUGGAUCCAGCCCCUUCCAGCCCAAAGGGGAAACUGAGGCAGGGGCUGGGAGCUCGGCACCGUGGCCCCCACCCCAUCCCCGUGCCCCCCUAACGCCCCUUCCCCUUUGUUUUUUUUUUUUUUUGUAGGGUGUUCAAGAAGGCGAGUCCCAACGGGAAG
rnacentral:lncRNA from 1 species